GUGCUUCUGCAGCAUAUAUACUAAAAUUGGAACGAUACAGAGAAGAUUAGCAUGGCCUCUGUGCAAGGAUGACACGCAAAUUCAUGAAGCGUUUCAUAUUUUA
rnacentral:snRNA from 1 species